UGCGAUUUAUAGUGUAUAAUCUUGACUAGACCGUAGCCACUUACGACCACAAUUAAAAUGAAGAAAAAGAAAAGUAAAAAUAUUGAAAAUAAAAAGGAAAAGAGAUGAAAGAAACGCAAAAAGAAAUAACGAAGAAGAAAAUGAUACUUUAAAAUUCUAUUAACUUCUAAUCAACUUCCCACACUUAGCAAAAAUAUUCGCUAUGGCAUAUUACAGGAUUCAAACUCGAAAUUAGACAGAAUACAGUCGGAUGCUUAACCAAUGAACCAGCAGUCUCAUUCUUG
rnacentral:lncRNA from 1 species